rnacentral:rRNA from 1 species
CCCGCUGAACUUAAGCAUAUUACUAAGCGGAGGAAAAGAAAUCAACGAAGAUUGCCUCAGUAGCGGCGAGUGAAGCGGCAAUAGCUCAAGUUUAGAAUCGGAGGCCGUUUCGGUUUUCGAAUUGUAAUCUAAAGUGAGUAACAAAAGGGGAUUCGGAAGCAUAAGUUCCUUGGAACAGGACAUCACAGAGGGUGAAAAUCCCGUAUGUAGCUUCCGUUGAACCGAAUGUUAUUUAUCCAAGAGUCGGGUUGUUUGGGAUUGCAGCCCUAAAUGGGAGAUAAACUUCUUCUAAAGCUAAAUAUCUAUGGGAAACCGAUAGCGAACAAGUACUGUGAAGGAAAGGUGAAAAGAACUUUGAAAAGAGGGUUAAAAGACUUGAAAUCGUUGAGAAGGAAGCAGUAUAAGUGGAUUUAUGUUAGCUAUGAAGCAACUUAGGUGAGGAACCAGCUCGUAGUAGUAAUGUACGUUAUUGGCUAGCUGCUACGAUGUAAUGGCACUCUCUGGGGAUUUCAUAGUUAAAGGGCAGGACCAGGUCUUAUUUUGCUGGAGUCAGUUGGGAGAAAGCCCUGCCUUACGGUAGAAUCUCCUUUCAAAACAGUAAACUGGCCUGAGGAAAGGUCCUGCCACAACGGCUUAUACUGACCCGUCUUGAAACACGG